rnacentral:rRNA from 1 species
AAACCACUGCUUUUGGUGGAUACCUAAGGACUCAAAGAUGAUGAAGGGCGUGUUAACCUGCGAAAAUUUUUGGUUAGUUGGAAAAAAACUUUAAUCCAAAAGUUCCCCAAUGGAGCAAUCCUAAAAACUACCGAAAAAAUUCAUAAAUCGGUAAGAAAAAACUUAGUGAACUGAAACAUCUUAUUAACUAAAGGAAAAGAAAGCAAACGCAAUUUCCGAAGUAGCGGCGAGCGAAAUGGAAAAAGUCUAAACUGAUCAAAUCAGGGUAGUGGGACUUUAAUGAAGAUAACAAAUAAAAAAUAAAAAACAGCUGAAACCUGUACCAAAGAUGGUGAAAGUCCAGUUUUAUUUUUUUUUACCUAUCUGAAGUAUCCCAAGUAGCUUGGGGCACGUGGAAUCCCUUGUGAAUCAGCGAGGACCACCUCGUAAGACUAAAUACUCUUGAGUCACUGAUAGCGAAAAGUACCGUGAGGGAAAGGUGAAAGAGACCCCCUGUCGGGGAGUGAAAUAGAUCAUGAAACCUGAAGCAAUCAAUCUGUGGGAGGAAAUAUCUGACCACAUGCCUGUUGAAGAAUGAGCCGGCGACUCAUGAUUUUUGGCUUGGUUAAAGAAAAUUUCUGUAGCCUGAGUGAAAACAAGUCUGAAAAAGGCGAAAAGUCAAAAAUUAUGGACCCGAACCCGAGUGAUCUAACCAUGACCAGGAAGAAUCUUGGGUAAAACUAAGUGGAUGUCCGAACCGACCGAUGUUGAAAAAUCGACGGAUGAGUUGUGGUUAGGGGUGAAAUGCUAAUCGAACUCGGAGCUAGCUGGUUCUCCCCGAAAUGCGUUGUGGCGCAGCAUUUAUAGAUGUCCUAUACCUGAAUAGGUAGAGCACUGUUUCGAUGCGGGCCAGUCAAAAGGUACCAAAUUGUGGCAAACUCCAAAUUAUUCAGAUUUAUACCUAUAAAAAGUGAGACUUUGGGGGAUAAGCUCCAGGGUCAAGAGGGAAACAGCCCAGACCAUCAGUUAAGGCCCCUAAAUAAUAGCUAAGUGUUAAAGGAAGUUUCCAUGCUGAAACAACCAGAAGGUUCGCUUAGAAGCAGCUAUCCUUGAAAGAAUGCGUAAUAGCUCACUGGUUAUUUCUUUUUAGGAAAAAAGCGUGGAUGCGCCGAAAAUGUCCGGGACUAAGUUAUUUGCCGAAACUAUGGCCUCCGCGCAACGCGCGGAGAGGUAGGGGAGCGUUCUGUUAUGAGGUGAAGGAUUUUUGAAAAAAAAUGAUAGAUCGAACAGAAGUGAGAAUGUCGGCUUGAGUAACGAAAACAUUAGUGAGAAUCUAAUGCCCCGAAAGCCUAAGGUUUCCUCUUCAAGGCUCGUCCAGAGAGGGUUAGUCAGGACCUAAGAUUAGGCUGAAAAGCGUCAUCGAUGGAGAACAGGUCAAUAUUCCUGUACUUAUUUUUAUUUUGAGACAAGGGACGAAGGCAACAAGUUCAGGCUCUUCAAAUGGUUCAGAGUGGAAAUGUUUAACAUAUGGUUCGAAAAAAAAAUCGAACUUGGGCAGAAAAGGUGGAUGAGCCCCCGGGCAAAACCGCCGCCUGCGUCAGUAUGAAGACAUGAUACGUUAUUUGAUAAAUUUAUUUAUUAAAUAAUUUGAAUUUUGUUAUACUUCCUAGAAAAGCUUGAGACUCUUAUAAUAAAAAUAACCUGUACCGUAAACCGACACAGGUGGGUAAGUUGAGAAAACUCAGGGGCGCGAGAUAACUCUCUCUAAGGAACUCGGCAAAAUAGCCCCGUAACUUCGGGAGAAGGGGUGUAUUUUUCUUUUCUUGAAAGAAAAAUUCCGCAGUGAACAAAUUCAUUGAACUUUUUAACAAAAAAAUAGGUCUCCGCAAAGUCGCAAGACAACGUAUGGGGGCUGACGCCUGCCCAGUGCCGGAAGGUUAAAGGAAUUGGUGAAAGCUGAUAACUGAAGCCCCGGUGAACGGCGGCCGUAACUCUACGAAACAUUAUACAAGCGAAAUUCCUUGUCAAGUAAGUUUUGACCCGCACGAAAGGCGCAAUCAAAUGAAUACUGUCUCAGAGAGAGACUCGGUGAAAUAGACAUAUCCGUGAAGAUGCGGAUUUCCUUACAUCAGUACAAGAAGACCCCGUGAAGCUUGACUGUAUCUUGAUAUUGGUUUCCAGUUAUUUUUGUGCAGUCUAGGUGGGAGAAUGAAAUUUCAUCAUUGAGAGACCACCCUGAAAUAACUAGAAAUCUUAAAGUGAUUCCUUGAAGCAGGACACUUGACAGUGUCUGGAGGGCAGUUUUUUUGGGGCGAAAACCUCAAAAACCUGUAUUAGGGAUAUCGGGAAAAAGCUUUGAAAUAACUAAAGAAUUAAUUGGUAAGUUCAUUCAUCCGUGUAUACAAUUAAAAUUUCCAACGAAUCGAAUUCGUCGAAGUUGAUGACAUAGUCUGAACUUUAUGGAAACAUAAAGAGGUUAAAGAUAAAGUGCUUUAACGAUAACAAAUUGAACAGGCUUAUCUUCCCCAAGAGUUCACAUCGACGGGAAGGUUUGGCACCUCGAUGUUGACUUUUCGCAACCUGGGGCGGUAGUAUGUCCCAAGGGUUGGGCUGUUCGCCCAUUAAAGCGGUACAUGAGUUGAGUUCAGAACGUCGUGA